rnacentral:sRNA from 1 species
GCCAGGCCGACUGAUGGGCGUCGGCUACGUCGCUACGGCGGCGUAGCCCGUCCGACCCGACAGCUGUCGGGGCUGCCAUGUCAUGUCCUCUUCUGCCGGAUCGGUCACGAUCCGGCAGCUUUUGCAGUGGCAAGACAGCGGUAUGACACCUUUCCUCACGCGCAACUUGUUAAAAUUCGGAUAAUCUCACUGGAUUAGACAGUCUGUUCAGCGUCUGUCUGCAUCGUUCCCCCAGACUUCGCACAUGACCCAGCAACGCACUCUCAAGAACACCAUUCGCGCCACCGGCGUCGGCCUGCAUAGCGGCGACAAGGUGU